CUUCACAUUUUUCUUUCUUGCAGGUUUGAAAUACUGUCUCCUCCCCACUCACUGCCUUUGCCAUAAGUAACUGUCUUCCCGGAGCCACCUGAGAGACGCUCCUGUCUGGGGAGUCCUGGCCUGACCGGGAUGUAAUUUGUUAAGGAGUAUUUAAACACAACAGAGUCCCAGAGUAAAUGGGCACUGUGCUGCCCAAGGAGGUGAUUUAAUUAUUAGGAUCAUUCUUCAGGCCAUUCUUAAUCUCAGGCCUGCCUCUCUUAUCCGCACAUCUUAUGACAGGACACAGCGUAAAUAUCAGAAUCAAUAAAUUACAAGUUUGCAAGGACGCAGGCCAAACAACAGUAACCUGGUUACUGGGCACCAAAGCCAGCUUCUCCUUAGAAACCUCAACCCUGGAGUAGGAAGUCAGGGUAGUGGGAUGUAUUCUUGUUAUAGGGCACAAGCCGUUCUGAAAUUAAAAGAAUGGAGGUUGGUCUUAAAAUCUGGGAUCCAGUUAUGGGGACAACUCCCCAUCCAAGAGAGGGGCUCCAAGGCCCAGAGCACGUGUAGCCCCCAUGGGAGGCUGGGGGCCUCCACCUAGCAUCAGACCAACAAGGAAGCAGUUGGAACCAAUGGAGACGUUCCCAGUACACAACCAAGCAGAGCAGGUGUGUUGAGGAGGCUCCACCCGGGGCCUCUCUGAGCCGCCUGUCCUCGCUGUUUCUCAUCAGAUGCUGGGAGCAUUCCCAGGCUUAACCAACUUAUGCCUGGAAAUCCCAAGGCCAGAGUGAAUGUGGAAAACAAAGAUUGACUGAACAUCCCUAAGGGCGCUGGAGACACAGAGGAAAGGAGCCCUGGGCCUGGCCAUGAACACCGCGAGAAUGCAAAGCAUGUGACGUCUCACUUAGAGCUGAUGCAGAAGGGAAGUGACUCUGAAAUAUAGACCCUCUUGGCCUCUGGGGGAGAUUUAUGUGGCGAGCAUCACGCUCCUCAGAGAAAGACUGCAGCUCUACAUCAGAUCAUCAAGCGUUAGAUUCCGGAGGUCGGGGACCCCUGCCUUAUGCAAUUGUUCUUGCAGCUGCACCGGAAGAAGCUCAGAGAGAACAGGAAGUGUGUUGUCUACAGUAACACCUUGUUUGUCAAAUAAUAGUAAAGGAAGGACAAUUUUUCUUCAUUCAUUCAUUUAUUCCUCCAGUCAGGCAACAUCCAUUGUGUACUUAACCUUGUGCCAUGCAUGAUAUUAGCCAUUUGAUAAUAUAGAAAAGCAUAAUCUGAGGUCUCCAUCCUCAGGAAGGGUUCAACUUGAAAAUAAAAAUAGGUUCAGCACAAUGUGGUAAAUAAUAGCAGCAUCUUGAGGAUAACAGGGGUCCAGAGGAAGGCAGACUUAACUUCGGAGGAAAAGUCAUGGGGCCCAAGGAAAGUUUUAUUCAGUGAUGUCUAGGCUGAAUUUUAUCAUGUGCACGUACACUUGCCAAGGAGAAAGAUAAAAAUUUCAAACAACUGGAACUUAACCUUGUGUGUGCCGAAACUUUUCCCUUUACCAAUUGUGAAAAGAAGGGAAAACUUAUUUAAAAACACAAACACUGUAUCAAAGGCAUAGAGAAGUCAGACUGUCUAAAGUUAAAUUCCAGUUCUGCCACUUACCAGCCCUGGAAACGUGGACUGAUGGAUUAGCCUUUCUGCGCCUCAAUUUCCUAAUCUUUAAAGCAGGGGGAACAAUAGUACGUACUUCAUGUAGUAUUUUGGCUUCCCAUGUGGCUCAGUGGUAAAGAAUCUGCCUGCCAAUGCGGGAGCCGCGGGUAGGAUUCCUGGGUCAGGAAGAUCCCCUGAGGGAAGAAAUGGCAACCUACUCCAGCAUUCUCAUCAGGAUAAUCCAAUGGACCAAGCGGCCUUGUGGGCUACAGUCCAUGGGGUCGCAAAGAGUCAGAUGCGACCUGUAAAGACCUUAUAACAGUGCCUACCAUGUAAAAACCAUUGUAACCACAUACACACACAUUAAUAGGCAGUCCCACAUUGACACACAUUCUCAUAGACACACAUAGAUUGUCAUAAUUAUACUUGAUAGCAAAUGUUUAUUGAACAUUGUUUAUGUGCCAGUUAUCAUGCUAAGCACUAAAAAUAGAAAACAGAAAAACAGAGUCCCUGCCCCUAAGCAGCUCACCGUUUUUG
ensembl:lncRNA